AGCGAACGCUGGCGGCAGGCCUGACACAUGCAAGUCGAACGAAGUCUUCGGACUUAGUGGCGGACGGGUGAGUAACACGUGGGAACGUGCCUUUAGGUUCGGAAUAACUCAGGGAAACUUGUGCUAAUACCGAAUGUGCCCUUCGGGGGAAAGAUUUACCGCCUUUAGAGCGGCCCGCGUCUGAUUAGCUAGUUGGUGAGGUAAAGGCUCACCAAGGCUACGAUCAGUAGCUGGUCUGAGAGGAUGACCAGCCACAUUGGGACUGAGACACGGCCCAAACUCCUACGGGAGGCAGCAGUGGGGAAUCUUGCGCAAUGGGCGAAAGCCUGACGCAGCCAUGCCGCGUGGAUGAUGAAGGUCUUAGGAUUGUAAAAUCCUUUCACCGGUGAAGAUAAUGACUGUAGCCGGAGAAGAAGCCCCGGCUAACUUCGUGCCAGCAGCCGCCGUAAGAC
rnacentral:rRNA from 1 species